rnacentral:rRNA from 1 species
CACGUAGGGGGCGAGCGUUGUUCGGAAUUACUGGGCGUAAAGGGCGCGUAGGCGGCCAUCUAAGUCACACGUGAAAUCCCCAGGCUUAACCUGGGAACUGCGUGUGAUACUGGAUGGCUUGAAUUCGGGAGAGGGAUGCAGAAUUCCAGGUGUAGCGGUGAAAUGCGUAGAUAUCUGGAGGAAUACCGGUGGCGAAGGCGGCAUCCUGGACCGACAUUGACGCUGAGGAGCGAAAGCUAGGGGAGCAAACGGG